CUUCAUUUAAACAUUUUUUAAACUCCUGGCUUUAUAGCGAUACUGAUUAUAUAAAGUAUGUAAAGGUUUGAGCAAGUUUUCACCAAAUUUCCCGACGAAAUUUGAUGCUUAAUACAUAAUACAUUCUAAACUAAAUAUUUAAUAUGUCUCGACUGACGUGCAAAGUUCAUUCACUUUUCUUCAUUUAAAAAUUAUUUCCUAUCUUAACACGAGACACACUAUAUAUUUUUGAAAUCCUUAGAAGAUUUUCUUUCGAAAGAUAAGUAAACAAAGUCUCUUCAACAAAAAUUGGAUGAGCUUACAUGAGAUUUGUAACGUUGUUUUCAUGUUGUAAACAAUUAAAUUUUAGUCAAGCGACUGCCAAAUUGACACCUAACUUCUAAAUUUCUGAUCGUAUAAACUUGAUUGGGCUAUUCCAUUUAAUAUCCGUACCCCCCCCUGUCGAGGAUCCCUGGAAUUCUUCAGGGGUAAAGGGUUUUGAGCUUGGAAUUCUUCAGGGGUAAAGUGUUUUGAGCUUGGAAUUCUUCAGGGGUAAAGUGUUUUGACGUUGGAAUUCUUCAGGGGUAAAGGGUUUUGAGCUUGGAAUUCUUCAGGGGCAAAGGGUUUUGAGGUUGGAAUUCUUCAGGGGUAAGGAGGUUUGAUUUGAAAUUUUUCAGAGCUUGGAAUUCUUCAGGGGUAAAGGGUUUUCAGCUUGGAAUUCUUCAGGGGUAAAAGGUUUUGAGCUUGGAAUUUUUCAGGGGUAAAGGGUUUUGAGCUUGGAAUUCUUCAGGGGUAAAGGGUUUUGAGCUUGGAAUUCUUCAGGGGUAAAGGGUUUUGAGCUUGGAAUUCUUCAGGGGUAAAGGGUUUUGAGCUUGGAAUUUUGGAAUUCUUCAGGGGUAAAAGGUUUUGAGCUUGGAAUUCUUCAGGGGUAAAGAGUUUUGAGCUUGGAAUUUUGGAAUUCUUCAGGGGUAAAAGGUUUUGAGCUUGGAAUUCUUCAGGGGUAUAACCAUAAAAAACAUGUAUCCUCGACAGGGGGUGUACGGAUAUUAAAUGGAAUAGCCCAUUUAAACAUUUUCCGAUAGCUUAUUUCUCGACGAUUAAAAAUAUAAUAAAAUUUACCUUGACUUGGAACAGCAAGUAUAGGAAAUUUUGAAGA